UGGCCAAAAAGUUCAUUCGGGUUUUUCCAUAAGAUGUUAUGGAAAAACGCAAACGAACUUUUUGGCCAA
rnacentral:miRNA from 1 species